AUGCAAAGGUCCAGAACCACAGAAAGGGAAGCCUCUGGCAGCAAGAGGUAGGGAUGGGAGUGGGUGCCUGCAUCUAUUCUGAAAACCCUGGAGACUGCAGCCCAAAUGCACUGCAUGAGCCAGGCUCUGGAGUCAGGCCUACGAGCCUUCUCUGGGAACACAUGAACUUCAUUACAGCCCCAACUCCACAUAUACUCCCCACCUCCCAUUGGCUCAGGGCUAUGUGGGAGGAGCCUCCUGAAGCCCAAUGCUCUUGUCCCAGCCUAUCAACUCCCAUUCUGUGACCUAGAGCCACUCUGACCUCAGAGGAAAAUGGAGCUGGGUGGGGAGAGUAAGACAAGAUGAGAUGUACCCUCAUCUGCUUUGCUAUGUGAGGACACAGUGAGAAGCCAGCCAUCUGCAAAUCAGGAAGAGCCUUCAACAGAUACCCAAUCUGCUAGGACCUUGAUCUUGGACUUCCCAGCCUGUAGAACUGUGAGAAAUAAAUGUUUGUUGUUGAAGCCA